rnacentral:rRNA from 1 species
GUUAUUAAUGGGUUAAAUAUUGUGAGUAAGUGAAUUAAUGGAAACAAAAAAAUAUGGCGGUACUUUAAGCUUAUCAGAGGAAUUUUCUCUGUAAUGGAUAAAACACCUGAAUCUUACUAAAGUUAGUUAAAUCAGCUUGUAUACCACUAUAAGAGUAAUAAUUUAUUAUUAUUUCUAUAAUUUUUUCAUAAAAAAAUAAAUUAAGUCAUGGUGCAGCAAAAAUUUUAGAAUGAAGUGAAUUACAUUUCUUUUAAGAAUAAAAAAUUGAAAAAUUAUAUUAGGAUUUGAAAGUAAAUAAAUAAUAACAUGAUUUAUUGAAUUUAGCUCUAAAGUAUGUAC